rnacentral:tRNA from 1 species
UAGAAAGAUGCCUGAGGAAAAGGGUUAUUUUGAUGUAAUAAAUUAUGUUUACAUAGUAAACUCUUUCU